CAUUUCCAGUCCUAUUUUAAUUCUUUAAAAAAUCUUCUUGCCUACAUUUUUCUGUGGCCCCUAAGGACAUUGUGUUGGACUGCUGAUGGCGUGUACAAUUCAAUAAGUGUCUGGUCUCUGAACUAAAAGAACAACCCUUUUGAAUUUUAGAGAUUCAGGACUCAGGAGAAGACUUCGUGGUGAGAGUUGACGUAGAAGUUGACAGCCCAAACCCCACACCAGUUCUUAGAAGUAUUGAUCUCCAAGAAAGAGCAGAAAGAGCUACAACUCCUGCUCCCAGGGACUUACAGGAUCUAAAAAAUGUGCAGCCAUUUGGACCUCAGUAUGAAGUGGUGUUAAAAGGUGAAGUCCAUUCUUUGGGAAGUAAACCUCUGCCACGUGGAUCAUGCUCAGACAUCCUAUUGAAGUUUGUCCAACAAUUUCUUGCUUUGGAAGGUGUCCCUCUUGGUGGAACACAGUUUCACCUUUUGCUGGAACUCAGAGCUACAAAUGAUGCUUAAUGUACCAACGCCUUCUGACUGAGCUCCUCUCUGCCCUGAAUACAAGAUACCCUAAUAGUUAUGUGGAAAUAUCAUCGCCCCUGUUCAGCAUGAAGAAGUUACAAAAGAUGGACCUUCAUCCUUCUGCAACCCUUAGGAUUAAGGGUCCUCUUGUAAAAGGUAGGGGAAAUACGUAAGAAGCUUUCAAACCAGAGCGACUCCAUUUUGAACAAGGGCUAAGAAAAAUGAAGCUGGGUCCUGUUGGGCUGCAUGCGCAGGAGGUUAAGCAUUCUUAGCCUCAAGAUGUUUACAAUUGAGGGAACAGAUUAAUAAUGUUUCCUAAACAGACUCAGGACUUAACAGACUCAAGAACAUCUUGAUACUUUGAGAACAAAAGCACUUCUAGUUUUAAAUACGCAUUGUACCUAGGCUGGAUGCUUUUCUUACUUUUGGAAAUGCCCUACCCUGUCUAUGAAGUCA
rnacentral:lncRNA from 1 species